rnacentral:rRNA from 1 species
UACGUAGGGUGCAAGCGUUAAUCGGAAUUACUGGGCGUAAAGCGUGCGCAGGCGGUUAUGUAAGACAGGUGUGAAAUCCCCGGGCUUAACCUGGGAACUGCAUUUGUGACUGCAUAGCUAGAGUACGGUAGAGGGGAGUGGAAUUCCGCGUGUAGGCAGUGAAAUGCGUAGAUAUGACGGAGGAACACCGAUGGCGAAGGCAA